rfam:Eutrema salsugineum unplaced genomic scaffold scaffold_2, whole genome shotgun sequence.
AAUCCAUGGUGAGGGAAGUCCCGUUCAUACUCCGUAAAACGUUCCCAGGCUUCAUAGAAAGGUUCAGUAGGUCAAUUCUGAAAGCUUGGGAUCUUGGUUCUCAGCAA